CAAUAUAACUCAAUCUUGAUUAUUUGAAACACAGAAAGAAAUGGGUUAGAGUGAGAAAGUCUCACCCAUCUCUAAACCCACCUAGUUUUCUUCUUGUUUUCCCUUUUACUUCCCCGAGUUCUAUAAUCAAAUCCUUCCAGAGACAAUGCCUCAAACCCCUCCCUUACAACCAUUUAGUCCCUCUAUUUUCACAGAUGAUGUCCAAAUGGGGAGGUAAAAGUUCUUACAAGGAUGUGACCGUAAACUCCAUCCCAUCACAACCCCCUUCUUUGAUCCACUCUUCCCCUAAGAUCGGGAUGGAAAAACUAGAUGAUGAUAUUAUUAAUCUUUUGCUUGAAGAUAAAAGAUGAAUCUAUGCCCCUUGGCAGUUCUCCGUUAUCAUGAAGGCCCCUUAGCAGUUCUCCGUUAUCAUGAAGGCGCUUAGGAGCAGUUCUCUCAUCAAUUUCUCAAUGCAAAAUUGGAAACCCUCUGGAAGUUGACCGAACCAAUUUAUCUGAUCAAUUUGUAUUCUGACUUCUUCAUCAUCAAAUUCCAAACUCCGGAUAGUCAAAUCAAGGCCUUGAAAGGGGGACCUUGGUUUAUUACGGGGAGUUUUCUCUAAGCUAGGUGUUUGGAUCCUAACUUUGACCCUACCAAAUCCCUAAUUGACUCAACUGCAAUCUGGGUACGCCUUCCUCAACUACCUACCGGGUUUUAUGGUCGCAACAUCCUAGAACGAGUUGGUAAGAGAAUUGGGCCACUUUUAAAAGCUUAUGCUUGCACCUCCUUCAACUUGCGGGGAAGAUAUGCCAGGAUUUGUGUACAAAUCGAAUUAGAAGUGAUGAUCAAGACCUCGAUUACAAUCGGAAGCCACAUACAAUCUCUUAUCUAUGAGGGUAAGAGAAUUCUUUACAAAUUCUGUGGUGUUUUGGGUCACACAUCUUUGAAUUGCAAUCUGAAGUCAUCUCCUUUCCCUGGACCUCGAGAUCCCUCCCCCCUCCCAGCUUCUUCGGUGAACGGUAAGUUUGACUGGCAAACAGUUUCAUUCCUGAGAAAGCAAAGGCUUUGCCGAAAUUUGGUUUCUCCGGAAACAUCGAACACAUGGGACAACUGCGGUAAGCUUUCAAUGACGGCAUCAGGGGCAUCAUAAUUCAGAAAAGGGACCAACAAGUUUAACAAGAAGCAAGAGAAAACUCGUGGAUCAAAGCAGCAGAUUUCUCUACAAAUUCAAGAACAAGCUCAAGAUACAAAUUCAAGAACAAGCUCAAGAUUUCAAGAUCAAGAGUUCAAGGUUCAAGAACAAGCUCAAAAUUUCAAGAUCAAGAGUUCAAGAUUCAAGAACAAGUUCAAGCUUCAAGAUCAAGAAUGGUUGUUUGAUUCGGGUUCGGUUUGACUUUUUCUUGGGUAACACCAAACCAAACCAAGAAUAGUCGAUUCUUUUUCUAACGCCAAACCAAUCAAACCAAACCAUAAGUCGAUUUUUUUUCUCGGUUUGGUUUGAUUCGUCGGUUCAGUUUGACUUGACGAUUUGGUUUGUACACCCCUAAUAAGUAGGGACUUAGGACUGGGUGUUAGUUGUAUCGUUGGAGUUGUAUUGACAGUCUCGAGUUAUUUAGAUAGUAUGUUUACAUGCUUGAGGUUUAGUUGGAAUGGUAUUAGUUUGAAUUGAUUGUGUCGAAAUCUGAACUUAUUUUGUCUCCGCAUUAUUUCCUUGUAGUUUCUGUAAGUAAAUGGUACAAGGGAUUCUCAUUAAUGUGACGUUCUUGCUUUUAGCUAUCCAUUGCUCACGUGUUUCUCAUUAUGUGAAGGUUCGAUUUGUCGUUUAUAUGUUUCUGGUUUAGUUCCAUUUCGGCAUUGUUUAUUGGCUUUAAAUAUUUGGCUUUAAAAAUUAUUUUGUUGACAUCUUAUAUUCACAACUUCGCCAUGUGUUCGUAAAAGGCUAAAAAUAUCUUUGCACGUUUUGGGGUGUACCAAUGUUUAAAGAUAAAUAUAAGUUGUCUAUUUGCACUAUGGCUUAAUCUGUUUUGUCGAUUUCUUACCUGUUAUGGAAGAAAUCUGUGAGACUUUCAUCUACACAUUUAUGUUCUUGGCUUUGCUUUCUUAUUUAAUUGAUGUGCGGGUGAUUAAAGAUUUCUAGUUUUUUCCUCUCUUGCUCUUUGAUUUCAUCCCUGUGAAAGGCUAAAACAAAUUAUAUUUCUCUAUGUUUCAAGAAUUUAACAGUGUCUAAAAGAAACAUUGAGUUGCUCGCUUACUUUUUAUUCUUCUUAAGCUAUUUGAGAUUGUCAUAAGACAAGAUUCACUUCCAUAUUUGCCUCUAUCAAACAAUGGUGUGUUCGUCGUUCAUUUUUUUGGUUUUGAAUUAGCAAAAGCAUAAUAAUCCCUCUUCAAAUUCUGAUUUUGAAACCUGUUCACUGCUUUAUUUUUUCCUCUCUCCAUGUGUGUUAAUAUCUUACCCUUGAAAACUUGAGAAAAAUAGGUGUAAAAACGUUCCCUGGACGUAAAUGAAAAAUGAACUCCUUACUCUACUUGAAAAUUUUCAUUGUGUCUAGAUUAUCACUCUCUGUUACAAACAUUAGAAGAAUUGUUAGAACCUUGGGUAAUGUCUUGCAGGUAGUUUUAUAUUUUUACUAACUAUUAAAUCUAACUUAAUAAAUACUCUCAAUCUUUUUGUUGUUAAAUUAUCUUGUCCAUGAGAUAAUUAUUCUACCAGAUAGAUGAUAGUUGGAUUGAUUGCUUUGAUAUGUUAGUCGUUUUUCCGUAAUCAUUUAUUCCUCCUUGAUUGAAAGUUUUGUGGUUUGAUAAGGACUGAUACUAUGUGUUGGCUAAUCCUUAUCUCAUUUUUACUUGCAUGAACUCCCUCGCCGAGUCCCUCGGACUCCCUUCUCUCACAUUUCGUUGGGUUGGACCCAACUUGCAUCAAGUCAAACCUCGGAUCCAAGUCCCAAGGGGACUGAUUUUGCACUGGUAUACAAUUAUAUAUGGCUGG